GAUUGAUAAUAACACCAGUUUAUAAAACUAUUUAUUUAAAAUAACAAAAUCCUUUUGUAAAAUAAAAGAAAUUGUUUAAAGAAAAUGCGUAUCAGCAUGCUAAACUAAUUUCGUUUUGUUUAAAAUAGUACCUGAAAACUUUCGAUUUCUUCCGUCUCGGUCACCCAGACGCUUGUUUUUAUGAGAUGUGCGUACGAACGAGUCGAUACAUCUUGAUGAUCAAGACUAUUCAAAUUGACGCGCGCUAUCAAUUCGAAGUAGAGAAAAUUUCAAGAGAAAGCCAGCAUGUCGAGAAGAAGAGUUACUCCCAGGGAGAUUUGCCGACGAAAACAGUAAGUUCAUCAUAGAUAAGAACAUACAUUGGUUGCAUUUGUUAGUGUAAAAAUACAUUUUAAAUUUGACAUAACCAUCGUGUUAUUGGACAUUCACUUUACAUGAUACGACGUACUCUGCUUUAUGCAAAACCAUAGGCCUAUGUAUUUUUAUUCUGUAUAUAUCUGUGUGUAUACGUCUGAAAAGUUCAAAACAAUUGAAAUGGUUUUGUUUUCUAAGGGUGGUAUGUGAUACGAUUCUCGCAGACAAAGAACUCAGCCCCCCUGGUAUAGGCCUAGUGAAAUCAAAUCAAUUAGAGGAGACAGGGGAAACGAGGGAGGAGAAAGUCCAAGCACCUUAGACAGAUGGUGUCAUGUAUCAUAUGGAGAGAUUGAAUUUGAAAGUGCAUUUGCCAUUACAACAUUGGGGAUGGACAACAUAGACAUUCAUGAUUGUGAAAGCCAUAAACACAAAGACUGGAACCAUGUAAUGUGCUGUUAAAGAAAAUAGACUAUCUAAGUAGACGUCCAGUGCAUUAUUUCAUUUAAUUCAAAAGUCAACAUUGUGUAAUUUUUUUCGUGGAUGACAUUGAUUAUUUGAUCUGAAUUUGCAAAAAUUGGAUUGAGUGGGAAUAAGUGCUGUGAUUUCAAAUGAAAGCCAUGAUAGACACAUUGCUUUUUCAUCCAGAUGUAAGUAAAAUCAUAAAUGCAUAUUGAAAAUUCAGUUUAUUGGAAAUGACUGUGACUUGUGGGUAAUUGUUUUUUUUUAUAUUUAUAAUUAAAAAACUUAUAUUAUUGGGAACAGUAUAAAUCUAUGGCUACAUUCUCUAAAUUUGAUGUGUUUUUUAUGCAUAUUAAAUCAAAUAUCAAUUGAUUUAUUUGUUAUUGAUGGUGUUGCAUAUAGUCUUAGAUUAUACUUUAACUUGGUCUAGUGUGUAGUUUUUUUUGGCAAAGUAAAAGACACUUUUCAUGAAAGAAACCUACAGACUACUGAAAAGUAUUAUCCUUUUAGUCACUAGCUGACUAGCUGUAAUUUUAUUCUAAGUAAUACUGGUAGAAAGUGCUGUGGUGUACCAGUUUACUAGACCUUGGUGAUAGUCCUUAUGGUAAUUAAUUUACUGCUUUCAGUGGGUUAAAUUACAAGCAUGCAUGAGAUAUGAAGAAGCAGCAGUGAUUACAUUCUUUUAAAAAUAACCAUUGAUAUUUUAAAAAUGAAAUUGUCAUCAACUGAUUUUCUAUCAUAAAUCAUGUAAAUGCAAGUCAUUCCUCUUUUAAUUAACUGAUAUGAAUGCUAGAUGCAAGUUCAUAAUUAAUGUGUUCAUAAUUAAUGUAUUUAUGGCCAUUGGGAGUUUUAGGGAUGUAUAUUUGAAAGCUGCCAGAGGUUUGCCACAAACUAUAUUAGGCUUUCUGAAAAUGUUUGCCAAAGGUUCGCCGCAAAGUGUAUAUGGCUAUCAGAAGUUUACCAAAGGUUAACCGCAAAACUUCACCAGAGGUUCACCAUAAACCAUUCCAUAUAUGGCAAUCUCAAGUUUGCGGCAAGUUUACCGCAAACUUCAUUUGCAUGGUAAAAAGUCGCCGUAAGGUUGCUGCAAACAAUCUGCCGUAACCUUGCCGCUAAGUUUGCAGCAGAUUCGCCGCAGGACUUCGCCAGAAGCCUUAUUUUUUGGUAAGGGUAUUUUAUGAUGUGGAACAAUAUUGUCGUUGCACAAAAAUUGGAAAGGAGGAUGUAUUGUGACAUAUCGAUCCUUGGACGUUGUAUGGUGCAAUUUAACUUCAUUUAUAUGAUAAAAAGAAUGCAGAUAAAGUCAAAUGCAUCAUUUUGGUUUUAGAAGUGAAAUUAAAUUACUUCUGUAUGGACAUGAUUCAGGUUUAUUUUUGUAAUUCUGCACUGACAUGUGUUUUUAUUUUUGUGAUUUUGUGUUGACACGACAUCAUGUUUAUUUUUUAACACUUUGACAGUUGUCCGACUUGUUUACAUGAUAAAGAUGUACAUGUAAUAUUUUUGUUCUAAAUGAAGUUAGAUAUUGUCAUAGGGCAUUAUCAUCAUGACUUUCAUAUUAAUCAUGACAUUUUUCUUCUUUUCAAACUAGACUCGAUUUUAUGUCGGACAGUAAAUUAUUUCCAACCAACAGUUGUUGUCAAAUAAUGUUUUUUUAGACAUUUUGUCUUCAAUUUUGUCUUGUUAGGAUUAUAUAUAUCAACAGGGGAUGCUUACUCCUCCUAGGCACCUGAUCCCACCUCUGGUGUGUCCAGGGGUCCGUGUUUGCCCAACUAUCUAUUUUGUAUUGCUUAUAGGAGUUAUGAGAUUGAUCACUGUUCGUUAUCUUCACCUUGCAGAUAUAUGUUAUAUGUAAUGUCUGUUCAAAUGUGUGUAUGUGUUUUAUUUUAAUAUGAAUAUGUUUACAAAUUGUAUAUACGGAAAAAAAAAAUGUUUUCUUAAAGAAAUCCUGGGUGGGGGAAACCACUUUCUUGCCGAUUGUUCCUAAAUUGGGGCAUAUUUUUGCCUUUCUAUCUCAAUGAAAUAGAUUAACUGAUAUGCCACAAAUUGCUUUAAAGAUCUAGAUCUAGUCGAAAUUUCUGGUGCUAUAACAUAUGUACCAUAUAUAUUUGUAGAUAUCAAAUUUAUGCGGGUAAUUUACCCUGAAUACUUCUUCAGCAUGAUUAAACCAUAUCCAUCUUAGGAAGAAGGCAAAUCUUGUGUGUGCGAUAUGGUAGAAAAUCAAUGUCAUCCAUACAAUGUCUCUAUUUUCGCUGUAGCUUCAAUUUUGCUUUUUUCAUGUCCAAAAAAAGAAUAACUAUAUUAUUCGUGUAGUUGUGAUAUACUUAUUGCAUGGCAGAUUUGAUCAACAUUUUAGUAAUGUUCAAGUUUAUACAUGUGAUAGAUAGUUGUUUUUCCCAUGCAUAUUCCGUGAAACAUAUCUAAUCUGACAUGCAUUGGGAGACAAUUUUUAUGGUGAGAAUACACAGGGUAUCGGAAUUUACAGUGUAACAAUGAAAAUAUUAAGUUGAGAAUGAAAAUAAGGUUUGGAAUGCCCAGUGAAAUGGAUUGCGCAGGUGUCAGAUUAGGCAGUUUUCACUGUAUAUAAUUGAUUUCUGUGGUAUAUUUUUAUUUGUUGUUGCUAUUGUUAAGGAGAGUAUAUGUUUAAAAAAUACUUGGAUAACAGUAUUUUCAUUCUAUAGAAAGUAAUCAGCUGUAUCCUACUUAAUUUUUUUGUAUUGCAUAUACCAAAGAUUAUAUAUACAUAUAUUUCUUAUUUUAUUGUUAGAUUUAAUAUUGAUUAACAAUAUGUUGUUAUUAAACAUCUAGAAGGUUGUUCGUUUUAUACAACAGUGCUUUUUGAUAUAUUGUUGGACUGAUGAUAUAAAUUGCUUAAGACCUUAACAAAAAGAUUAUAUGUGUUUAAAGGAAUGUAUGUAAUAAAGCAAUAUAGAAACAGAG